rnacentral:rRNA from 1 species
UCAGGAUGAACGCUAGCUACAGGCUUAACACAUGCAAGUCGCGGGGCAUCAUGGUGUGUAGCAAUACACACUGAUGGCGACCGGCGGAUGGGUGAGUAACGCGUAUCCAACCUGGCCCUAUCUCGGGCACAGCCCCUCGAAAGAGGGAUUAAUUCCCGAUGUUCCCACGAGUUCGCAUGUUCUUGUGGGCAAAGGCCUUUGCCGGAUAGGGAUGGGGAUGCGUUCCAUUAGGCAGUCGGCGGGUAACGGCCCACCGAGCCUUCGAUGGAUAGGGGUUCUGAGAGGAAGGCCCCCCACACUGGGACUGAGACACGGCCCAGACUCCUACGGGAGGCAGCAGUGAGGAAUAUUGGUCAAUGGCGGCAACGCUGAACCAGCCAAGUAGCGUGAAGGGAUUACGGCCCUAUGGGUUUUAAACCUCUUUUGUUGGGGAGCAACCUGUGCCACUUGUGGCACACUGCGAGUACCCUUCGAAUAAGCAUCGGCUAACUCCGUGCCAGCAGCAGC